rnacentral:tRNA from 1 species
GUAGAUGUGGCUCAGUGGUAGAGUGCUUGCCUGACCUGCUUGAGGCCCAGGGUUCAAUCCCCAGCACCACA